rnacentral:rRNA from 1 species
AACGAACGCUGGCGGCAUGCCUAACACAUGCAAGUCGAACGAGACCUUCGGGUCUAGUUGCCCACGGGUGCGUAACGCGUGGGAAUCUUCCCUUGGGUUCGGAAUAACAGUUGGAAACGACCGCUAAUACCGGAUGAUGACGUAAAUCCAAAGAUUGAUCCCGCAGGGGUGAGCGCGCGUAGGUUUAGCUCGUGGGUGUGGUAAAGGUCUACCCAGGCGGAGAUCCUUAGCUGGUGUGAGAGGAUGCACAGACACACUGAGACUGAGACACGGCCCAGACUCCUGCGGGAGGGAGGAGUGGGGAAUAUUGGACAAUGGGAGAGACUCUGAUCCCGCUACGGCGCGUGAGUAAUGAAGGCCUGAGGGUUGUAAAGCUCUUUUACGCGGGAUGGUAAUGACGGUACCUGGAGAAUAAGCCCCGGCUAACUCCGUG